CAUGUCACUGUAUUACAACCUGGGCUACAGAGCAAGAGGCCAUCUGAAAACAAAACAAAACAAAACAAAACAAAAACAACUCUGAGAAUUCAGAGUUGACUAGAACCUGGGGAAGCCUUCUAGAUUGUUCUCUACAUUUGUAAAAGAAAUAAAUCUUGAAUGUCUCUGCCGAAGGCUUUCAAUAAAUAUUUGUUGAAAAAGAAAGGAAGAAAGAAAAUGAAGAAGGAACGAAGGAGGAAAGGAAAGAAGGAAAGAAGGAAGGAAGGAGUUAAUGAAGACUCAAGGUGAUUCUUAACUUUCUAAUACAGAAUUCUCUUUUCGUUUCCUCCUUCAAUCCAGAUAAAUGACAUGCCGUGAUGGAAAAUCUGAAAUAUGUUUUGUGAUGCCUUUUUGCUGCUACUACCAACAGUAAACUCAAACUCUUGAAACUGGUUUUUUUUCCUCUUUUUCUGCCAUGCCCCAUAGUAAUCUUCCUUGCUUGCAUGUUCCACUACAACUCAGUGAUGCUUCAGAUAUGCAACUAAACUACUGCACAAUAAAUAUAAAGCUAGGACAAGUCACUUAAUUCAGGUUUAAAUAUACAAAUUUUCCUUGCAGUAACUUAAAAUUGAUACUUCUCAUCCACUGAUUUCCUGUCAGGAUCUUGCCUACUAAGGGCCAUGAUUAUUGUGGCUGGCAUAUCUCAUUUUUUCCCUUUAGUUAGGCAAAUUACUUUAGUGACACUCUUGGUAGAGACUCUUUUGUUUGGUGUCUGGAAGACGGUCUUUUUUUUUUUUUCUUUUUCCUUUCCCAGUGUUUUCUUUAUAAUUUUUGUAGUCUACUGUAAUGGGUAAGCUUGGACUAUAAACUCAGUUUUGAGUUCUGAGACUGACUUAUACUCUUAAAACUUAGAUGAUUUAUUUUAUUUCGGAGACUUUAAUUUCAUCAUCAGAAAAAUGAGAGCACUGCCAGAGAAGACCUCUAGGAUCUCUGCUAUUGAAUGAUUGUGUGAUUCUCUGCAGAAAGGAUGUUCUGCUCUGAUUGGCAGGGAGAGUUUGAAGGUGGGUUGGCAGAGACUGUGACCGCAACUGACUGCGUUCUGCAGAAUUAUGGUAAUGAAAUUGGAAGCCAACUUUCGUGAAGCAGAAAGCCUCAAGUUUCCAGGUGCUGUGCUCAGUCCAGGAAUACAAUGAUGAAUACGAUCAAGGCCCUUUCAGAGCUGACACACACUAUACAUAAUGCAUCAAAAAUUGCGUUCUCGCUAUAUUUCUGUUUAUUUGGUUUUAUCUGCAAGAAUAUAGAUAGCAUCUGCUUUGAUAUAAAACUUUUAUGUGUCUUAUGUAGUUGAUUUGUAAAUGUCCUAUCUAUAAAUAUAAAACAAUAAAUUACUAGUUACAGUUAACUUAGGAAAACUUUUAAUCAUGUCCUACAUUUUACACCUUGUAAUUUCUACCAAAUGUUUGUAUUUUUAUGUCUUAUUAAAUAUAAUAAAUAUUUGUCUUAACAUAUUUUAAUAGAAUUCCUCAUAUGUUUUGCAGAAAGCUAAUUAUGGUUUUC
rnacentral:lncRNA from 10 species